rnacentral:rRNA from 1 species
AUACGAAGGGUGCAAGCGUUGUUCGGAUUUAUUGGGCGUAAAGCGCGCGCAGGCGGAUGCGCAAGUCAGAUGUGAAAUCUCGGGGCUCAACCCCGAAACUGCGUCUGAAACUGUUCAUCUAGAAUCUUGGAGAGGGAAGGGGAAUUUCACGUGUAGGGGUAAAAUCCGUAGAGAUGUGAAGGAACACCAGAGGCGAAGGCGCCUUCCUGGACAAGUAUUGACGCUGAGGCGCGAAAGCGUGGGUAGCAAACAGGAUUAGAAACCCUUGUAGUCC